AAGUUCAUCCUCUCCACAGGUGUGCUAUAAGCUGUUGAGACACAUUACUUCUUUUACCUGGAGCUAUGGCUGCUACCGGGAACCAGAUGAAUAAAUACAUUUUUUCCGACUUCCACUGGAUGCACUGGAUGAGGAGGGUCCACCCCGCUGCGCGCUGUUCUCAAAAAGGAACCUACAACUUUUCAAUAUCAGCCCUACUGGCAAAAACACAACAACACAGCAUGUUGCUCCAAGUCUAUUUAUCAGCUUUAUUGUAGUAAGCCUAACAAACAUCAUAACAUCUGCAGACACAUGCAACCGUGUCUCUCAUCCAUGACUGACUCCCUGGUUGUAAUCUACUGACCUCAUCUGGUAUUUUUCAGAAACUCAAGUCAAUUGGAUGUAAACGUGUUCCAUUCUGCUGAUCAGAUAUGAAAAAGACUGAUUUUUCACAUUUUUAACAAAUUAUUUUGCAGCAGGCUGAGCAGUCAUGGUUCUAAAAGGCUUGCGUGUGUUGCAGAGCAAUUCACCGCUAGAACAACAGGCGGAGUGACGUGUUUUAGUUGAAGACGACCUAGAGAGUCACAUCUAUUUAUUUAUUUGUUUGUUUCUUUAUCAUAGACUUUAUUGCCCCGUGCAUCGCCACUGCUGCUUUUCAUCGCAGACACAUUUGUCCCGUAUUUUCCUCCACAACUUUGCGCACCUCUCGACCGGCAAACCGGCGUUUGCGGCGAUCUCCCUCCGUGAAUCAACCCGCUUCUACAACCCGCCAAUGACGGCUUGUAUAAGCGGUCAUAUUUACGCAUUUCUUCCGACAAAAGUUCUGCAAUCUGAUCCGUUCUCUCGAAAACAUUCUUCGUUUUAAUAAUGGCGGUGUCGGGCUAUGAAAGCGGAAAUAUGAGACUCCGCAAAGGACGUAGUUAGCGGACCAAUCGCAGCCUGGUGCGCUGCGGGAGGCCUAGAAAAUGUCUCGACACACGCAAGGACGCAACGAGGUGUGAAAAGUCACGCAAGGGACACGCAAGGGGGUCUCAAAGGAGGUCGCUCUGAAAACGCAGAAGCAUAAACUAGGUUUAACCCUCAUUGUUUUUAGCGUCUGUGUUUCAAAAUUUUAAAUUCAAAAAUUAAGUAGAACUGACAUUUUAUCUAUCAAUAGACAUUGUAACUUAAUUGUAACCAAAAUCAAAGAUCGAGGCACCAAAAACAAAAAAAUUCAUCAUCUUCCAAGUCCAUCUCUGAGCUCACACAAAUUGUGUGAAACAUUUUGUGGCAGUUGUCACAUUGAACCCACAACACCAACCCUUCUGGAUCCUUUGGAGGGUAAGGCUGUCUGCACCGUCCACAUCGCAACAGCUUCUUUUCCAACCGUUCCUUCUUAGCAGCUUGGUAGGCUACUGGGAGAAAAAGAAAAUGGGACAGGUGUGAGGAAACUGUUCAGUUUUUACAAGUGAAGACUGUUGGGCUCACAUACCGGUGGAGGUUGUAGGUUCAGCAGUUGAGGAAAGGGAGGCAGGAGACGAGGGAGCUACAGCCAUGAAGGAGGUCCGCCAAAGGUUGGAAGCUGUGCAAAUGAAGGGAAAAACAUGACUUGGCUAAAAUGUUUACUGUUUUCAUUCAUUAUUGCUGAUGUUUGUACCACGUUUAAAGUGUUGUUCAAAGUGUGUUACAGAUUUGAUGAAGUAUGUCUAAUGAUAACAGUAAGGAAACGAUAGCGAAAGGCCGGGAAAGGACCUCAGGACAAAUAUAUAAAAAAGGAAAUGCUUUCUCCAUCAAAACACCUAAUGGAACUUUACCGUCGUCAACUUUAUUGGAAGACAAGCUCAUGUUGGUUGAGGCGCGUUGGGAUGCAGAAGUGGGAUCACACGGGCCUGGAGGACCCGCGGCACCAGGACUUGUAGCAUCUGAACGGACCUUGCGGGGCCGUGGUCUUUUGCCGCCGAGACAAGAGCCCCCGGGAAAGGUGGAGGAGGAGACCGCCAGGUCCGUGUCUUCCGCUCCCCGUCGCGUCGCACUUCUGGCCUCCGCUCUUGCUGCGCUGUCCUCCACCUUCUGCAGGACAUCUGACAUCUCCCUCGCUGUCAGCACCUGGAAGCUUCUCCUGUCACUUUGGGCGUCGCAGGUUUCGUUGGUUUUGGACAAGACGCGGGCCAGUUCCGCUGUCACGAGGCCCGACGCUACCAGGGGAUGGGCCAGGUAGGGAUCGGAGGAGGGAGGCAGACUCUCGGGCGGUUGGAACUUGACCGAACCCCUUUUUGUGUGUGAUUUCGUAUGAGAUUCCAAAAGGUAGGAGCGCAUAUUCUGGGAGGUAAUGCGAUGCCGGUGCCGCUCCAUAAAGUUAAUCCACCAGGUUUGGCCUAGAACGGUCCUGGGUUGGUGCGGAUUACGAUAAUUAUAAAUUGCCAGAGCGUUGGUUAUGACCUGAUGCUUUCUCUGAGGACAUCCCUGACUGGCAGAGUACAAACAAUACUCCAACAGCGAACUCUCGUCCUCAGAGGUGAGAAGCGGUUUUUGGCCGUGCACGCAGUCGACGGCUACGCGUCCAGAGAGUCGGUCCGCCAGGCUGGACUUUGGGACGCCAAACUUCCUGGCUGCCUUUCUUGCGGUUUGCCUGCCUUCCUUCACCUCCUGGACGGCACGAACCAUGGCGUCCAGCGUCCAUUUGACCUUUUUAGACCCUUUCUUCCUCAACUCCCGGAUAUUGGGCAUCUGCGUGUUACAAGAAAAAAAAAA
ensembl:lncRNA